rnacentral:tRNA from 1 species
GACCGAAUGGCGUAGUGGUUAGUGACCCUGACUACUGAGCGCAUGGUCCCGGGUUCGAUUCCCGGCUGGGGCA